rnacentral:rRNA from 1 species
UACAGAGGGGGCAAGCGUUGUUCGGAAUUACUGGGCGUAAAGGGCGCGUAGGCGGCCUUCUAAGUCGAACGUGAAAUCCCCGGGCUCAACCCGGGAACUGCGUCCGAUACUGGAAGGCUUGAAUCCGGGAGAGGGAUGCGGAAUUCCAGGUGUAGCGGUGAAAUGCGUAGAUAUCUGGAGGAACACCGGUGGCGAAGGCGGCAUCCUGGACCGACACUGACGCUGAGGCGCGAAAGCUAGGGGAGCAAACAGG